AAUAAAUCCCUCUAAUUCUAGGACGCCUUUUCUGGUCUCAGAAGGGAAAUGUCUAUUUGUUCCAGCCGUGUGGCUUCAGUUGUGGUGUCACUCCUUCUGGCUUAGAAGCAGCUCUUGGCAAAUGAAGUUUCAUUAUCCUUUUACCCUUGUCAUCAUUCAAACACCAUCCUUGCUGCUUUUGGGUCACAGGCCUCAUAUGGCCUCCUGCUCCUGCAGUCAGGGCUCCUUGAAAGCUGGUUUCUUUUGAUAGCAAUAUUUUCCUGCCCAGAACUCAUGAUGUUGACAUGGUGCUACACCUCACCUCUUCUUCUGUCUCUGAACUGCUCCCCCUUCAGAGGACACAGGCAGCCACCCAGCUGCUCAAGUCUUUAGGCAGAAAAGAGAGAAGCGAGCAGAGAGACAGGGAGACCUCAUAUCAUCAAGAAACAAGAGCC